rnacentral:rRNA from 1 species
UGGGGAAUUUUGGACAAUGGGCGAAAGCCUGAUCCAGCAAUGCCGCGUGUGUGAAGAAGGCCUUCGGGUUGUAAAGCACUUUUGUCCGGAAAGAAAUCCUUGGCUCUAAUACAGUCGGGGGAUGACGGUACCGGAAGAAUAAGCACCGGCUAACUACGUGCCAGCAGCCGCGGUAAUACGUAGGGUGCAAGCGUUAAUCGGAAUUACUGGGCGUAAAGCGUGCGCAGGCGGUUUGCUAAGACCGAUGUGAAAUCCCCGGGCUCAACCUGGGAACUGCAUUGGUGACUGGCAGGCUAGAGUAUGGCAGAGGGGGUAGAAUUCCACGUGUAGCAGUGAAAUGCGUAGAGAUGUGGAGGAAUACCGAUGGCGAAGGCAGCCCCCUGGGCCAAUACUGACGCUCAUGCACGAAAGCGUGGGGAGCAAACAGGAUUAGAUACCCUGGUAGUCCACGCCCUAAACGAUGUCAACUAGUUGUUGGGGAUUCAUUCCUUAGUAACGUAGCUAACGCGUGAAGUUGACCGCCUGGGGAGUACGGUCGCAAGAUUAAAACUUAAAUGAAUUGACGGGGUCAUAGCUGUUUCCU